rnacentral:rRNA from 1 species
AUAAGGUCUAACCUGCCCACUGAAUUUUGUUUGAAGGGCCGCAGUAUUUUGACUGUGCAAAGGUAGCAUAAUCAUUAGUCUUUUAAUUGAAGGCUGGUAUGAAUGGUUGGACGAGAUACAAGCUGUGUCAUAAAAAUUAAAAUUUGAAUUUAUCUUUUUAGUUAAAAGACUAAAAUAAAAUUAAAAGACGAGAAGACCCUAUAGAGCUUUAUAUAAUUAAUAUUUAAAUUAUUAAGAUUUUUUAAAUUGAAAUAUUAUUUUAUAUUUUGUUGGGGUGACAAUAAAAUUUAUAAAACUUUUAUUUUUAUUAAACAUUAAUUUAUGAUUAGAUGAUCCAGUUUUAUUGAUUAUAAAUUUAAGUUACCUUAGGGAUAACAGCGUAAUUUUUUUUGAGAGUUCUUAUCGACAAAAAAGAUUGCGACCUCGAUGUUGGAUUAAGAGUAAUUUUGGGUGUAGAAGUUCAAAAU